GACGAACGCUGGCGGCGUGCCUAAUACAUGCAAGUAGAACGCUGAAGAGAGGAGCUUGCUCUUCUUGGAUGAGUUGCGAACGGGUGAGUAACGCGUAGGUAACCUGCCUUGUAGCGGGGGAUAACUAUUGGAAACGAUAGCUAAUACCGCAUAACAAUGGAUGACACAUGUCAUUUAUUUGAAAGGGGCAAUUGCUCCACUACAAGAUGGACCUGCGUUGUAUUAGCUAGUAGGUGAGGUAACGGCUCACCUAGGCGACGAUACAUAGCCGACCUGAGAGGGUGAUCGGCCACACUGGGAAUGAGACACGGCCCAGACUCCUACGGGAGGCAGCAGUAGGGAAUCUUCGGCAAUGGGGGCAACCCUGACCGAGAAACGCCGCGUGAGUGAAGAAGGUUGUCGGAUCGUAAAGCUCUGUUGUAAGUCAAGAACGAGUGUGAGAGUGGAAAGUUCACACUGUGACGGUAGCUUACCAGAAAGGGACGGCUAACUACGUG
rnacentral:rRNA from 1 species